rnacentral:rRNA from 1 species
UACGUAGGGUGCAAGCGUUAAUCGGAAUUACUGGGCGUAGAGCGUGCGCAGGCGGUGAUGUAAGACAGUUGUGAAAUCCCCGGCUCAACCUGGGAACUGCAUCUGUGACUGCAUCGCUGGAGUGCGGCAGAGGGGGAUGGAAUUCCGCGUGUAGCAGUGAAAUGCGUAGAUAUGCGGAGGAACACCGAUGGCGAGCAAUCCCGUGGGCCUGCACAUGACGCUCAUGCACGAAGCGUGGGGAGCAAACAG